rnacentral:rRNA from 1 species
CCUACGGGAGGCAGCAGUGGGGAAUAUUGGGCAAUGGACGCAAGUCUGACCCAGCAACGCCGCGUGAAGGAAGAAGGCUUUCGGGUUGUAAACUUCUUUUAAGGGGGAAGAGCAGAAGACGGUACCCCUUGAAUAAGCCACGGCUAACUACGGGCCAGCAGCCGCGGUAAUACGUAGGUGGCAAGCGUUGUCCGGAUUUACGGGGAGGAAAGGGCGGGCAGCCGGGAAGACAAGUCAGAUGUGAAAUCCCGCGGCUCAACCGCGGAACUGCAUUUGAAACUGUUUUUCUUGAGUAUCGGAGAGGUAAUCGGCAUUCCUAGUGUAGCGGUGAACUGCGUCGAUAUUAGGAAGAACCCCAGUGGC